AACACCACUGUAAUGGAGGCACAUCAGAACUGAAGUAUGCGUGCUUUCUAAAAUGAUGCCAGUGAUUCCUCUGUUCCUUUAAAGACAGCAUGGCUAAAACACAGCCAGCUAAUGACUUUAAACAGAUUCUACCCUGUUCCAACCACCAGCAGACAUAGACUGGAAAUUGUCCAAGCUUGCCCCUUUCCUGGUGCUUACUGAAACAACAGCAACAACAAUAGAAUGUGUGUGGUGGGGGAACACCCUACAAUACAUAAAAAUAGUUCCUUGGACUCCCGUUCAGUUUCUGGCUGUCCCAUGGUUACUUCUGCAAAGAGUGAAGAGAUAGAUUCUACGUAUAGAUGGUUCCAUUUUCCUUAAAAGUGUGACUCUGAGUCUUGGCUUCCUCUUCUAUUUUUUUAAAAAAAGUUUUUGUCCUUUCAGAUUAGAUUAGUGGGAAACCCCCACUCACCCACCCAUUUUCACCCCAUAGCCCAGGCUCUCAGACCCUACCUCCAAGUGUUCUUAUCUCCUCCAUUUUCUGUUCUGUAAAUCUUCUCCCCUCGCUCCAGUGUCUAGGUGUCUCUCAUGUCCUACAGCCAACAUGUACACACUGCUGUUGCUGUGUUCAAAGACAAGGAUUAGUAUUAAUAAUUUCCCCCCAGGGAAUGAAAUACUGGAUCCAGGUUCCUUUAAAGCCUGUAGGUAUAGAAUGGAGUGUUGUCAUGAUGCAGAAAGGAGAAGAUUCUUGUAAAUAGGUUAUUUUAGCUCCUUUUGUUUGAUAAGAAUGGCUAGGAGAUAAAACUUUCCUCGAUGAUUUCCCACAUAAUUGUCUUUUUUUAUUAUUAUUGAUCACAUUUACACAUAGGAAUAUAUACACACAGCACUUGUUACAAGCCAUUUACACCCUGAGGUAGCUUGUAAAAAUAUGACAAUAUUCUUUGAUAAUGGUCCAGUGACACUUGCUAUUAUUAUUGUCAUUGUUAUUGUUACUGUUGUGGUGGUUGUUCUGUUGCAGCAGCGUCUCAAGGCCAGGGUCAGGGCCACAUUGUGCUAGUGUGUGCAAUUAAACGAUGGUUCCUUGCCUUUAAGAGUCUACAAAUUAAGUAUAAGACAAGAAACAACAGGUGGAUACAACAAACAGAGCACAAGGGAGCAGUGAGGUAGUUAUGAUUCAUGUAAUAAGCAGUGGUCAUAGCACACCAGUUGCCUAACCAUUGUCAAGUGUUCUGUAGGCAUGGUGAAACAGGUGUAUUUUAAGAAAGGUCUAAAAGAUGAUAACGUAGUGCCUUUGAAGAGCUUCUUCCUUUCACAAGAGGUGGCAUGGGAGAAAGCAUGAAGGUGCACGUUAGAAAAUUUGAAAUAUGGUGGUGUGGACCAUGAUAGCAUUAUAUUCUGGUAUAUUAUUACAUAUUUGUUUUGGGUCUCUUAGAUACAUGAGGGUGUUGGGGUUGGUCCUGCAUUGAGCAGGGAAUUUGACUAGAUGACCUCCUGCGGUCUCUUCCAACCCUAAUAUUCUAUGAAAUCUUGGCCCUGUUAAGUCAAUGGCGAAACUUCAUAUUGACUUCAGUUGUGCUAGCAUUUCACCCUGAGAGUAGGUACACCAAAGAAAAGGGGAGUUAUACAUGUAGCUUUUGAAUCAGUGUAUGCCUGAUAACACUUCAAAUGUGUUUGUAUAGUACAGGGCUAGUUACAGGACCUUCUGGGAGUGAGUAUUUUCCCUCUCCAGUUUACUCCCAUUGAGUUCAAUAGGAUUGCGUUCAUGAAUAAAGAUGCUCAAUGUGAAUAAGUGUUUGCAAGACAUAGCUGAAACAUAUGAUAUAUUCUCUCUCAUAUUUACUAUAUUCAAUACUGGAGAAUAUUUGUGUGUAUGGUAUUUUAUAUACAAGGUAAAAAAAUAAUUCAUACACAAUGACAUAUUGUGUCUGUCUCCAGUUAUUAUAUGAGUAUGUUAUUAAUCUGCUUAGAGUUCUGUAUAGGUUUCAUUUUUCAUGCCUCUGCUACUUAUAUACCUUCAGGCUUCUAAGUAAAUUAUAACAUAUUAAAAUUAUUUGUAUGGUUUUGGAUUCAUAUAAAUAAGUGGGCC